rnacentral:rRNA from 1 species
GACGAACGCUGGCGGCGUGCUUAACACAUGCAAGUCGAACGGAAAGGCCCUGCUUUUGUGGGGUGCUCGAGUGGCGAACGGGUGAGUAACACGUGAGUAACCUGCCCUUGACUUUGGGAUAACUUCAGGAAACUGGGGCUAAUACCGGAUAGGAGCUCCUGCUGCAUGGUGGGGGUUGGAAAGUUUCGGCGGUUGGGGAUGGACUCGCGGCUUAUCAGCUUGUUGGUGGGGUAGUGGCUUACCAAGGCUUUGACGGGUAGCCGGCCUGAGAGGGUGACCGGCCACAUUGGGACUGAGAUACGGCCCAGACUCCUACGGGAGGCAGCAGUGGGGAAUCUUGCACAAUGGGCGGAAGCCUGAUGCAGCAACGCCGCGUGCGGGAUGACGGCCUUCGGGUUGUAAACCGCUUUCGCCUGUGACGAAGCGUGAGUGACGGUACUGGGUAAAGAAGCACCGGCUAACUACGUG